rnacentral:rRNA from 1 species
AACGAACGCUGGCGGCAUGCCUAACACAUGCAAGUCGAACGAGACCUUUGGGUCUAGUGGCGCACGGGUGCGUAACGCGUGGGAAUCUGCCCUUGGGUUCGGAAUAACAGUGAGAAAUUGCUGCUAAUACCGGAUGAUGUCUUCGGACCAAAGAUUUAUCGCCCAGGGAUGAGCCCGCGUAGGAUUAGCUAGUUGGUGGGGUAAUGGCCUACCAAGGCGACGAUCCUUAGCUGGUCUGAGAGGAUGAUCAGCCACACUGGGACUGAGACACGGCCCAGACUCCUACGGGAGGCAGCAGUGGGGAAUAUUGGACAAUGGGCGCAAGCCUGAUCCAGCAAUGCCGCGUGAGUGAUGAAGGCCUUAGGGUUGUAAAGCUCUUUUACCAGGGAUGAUAAUGACAGUACCUGGAGAAUAAGCUUCGGCUAACUCCGUG